rnacentral:sRNA from 1 species
UUUAAAGGAAAGCAACCUAAGUUUGCGACGUCCUGUCGCAACGGUUGCAUGAUCAACGUCAUGUUGA